GACAGAGGGUGCAAACGUUGUUCGGAAUUACUGGGCGUAAAGCGCACGUAGGCGGCUUCGCAAGUCGGAUGUGAAAUCCCUAGGCUCAACCAAGGACGUGCAUCCGAAACUGCGAAGCUUGAGUACAGAAGAGGAUCGCGGAAUUCCCGGUGUAGAGGUGAAAUUCGUAGAUAUCGGGAGGAACACCGGUGGCGAAGGCGGAUCUCUGGACCAGUUCUGACACUGAUGAGCGAAAGCCAGGGGAGCAAACAGG
rnacentral:rRNA from 1 species